UACGUAGGGAGCAAGCGUUAUCCGGAUUUAUUGGGUGUAAAGGGUGCGUAGACGGGAUAACAAGUUAGUUGUGAAAGCCCUCGGCUUAACUGAGGAACUGCAACUAAAACUAUUAUUCUUGAGUGCAGGAGAGGGAAGCGGAAUUCCUAGUGUAGCGGUGAAAUGCGUAGAUAUUAGGAGGAACACCAGUGGCGAAGGCGGCUUUCUGGACUGUAACUGACGUUGAGGCACGAAAGUGUGGGGAGCAAACAGG
rnacentral:rRNA from 1 species